rnacentral:rRNA from 1 species
UAAUACGUAGGGGGCAAGCGUUGUCCGGAUUUAUUGGGCGUAAAGCGCGUGUAGGCGGCCAGGCAGGUCCGUUGUGAAAACUGGAGGCUCAACCUCCAGACGUCGACGGAAACCGCUUGGCUAGAGUCCGGAAGAGGAGAGUGGAAUUCCUGGUGUAGCGGUGAAAUGCGCAGAUAUCAGGAAGAACACCGAUGGCGAAG